UGAGGUCUGUGAUGUGUUUAAAUUGCCUACAUUGGCUGAUUAUGUUUUAAACUGAUGUGUUCCAACAGUCUGAGACCUCU